UACAGAGGCCCCGAGCGUUGUUCGGAAUUAUUGGGCGUAAAGCGGGUGUAGGUGGCACCGCAAGUCAGAUGUGAAAGCCCUGGGCUUAACCCAGGAAGUGCGUCUGAUACUGCAGUGCUAGAGUGCGAGAGAGGGAACUGGAAUUCCUGGUGUAGGGGUGAAAUCCGUAGAUAUCAGGAGGAAUACCGAUGGCGAAGGCAAGUUCCUGGCUCGUAACUGACACUCAGAUCCGAAAGCGUGGGUAGCAAACAGG
rnacentral:rRNA from 1 species